rnacentral:rRNA from 1 species
GCACCGUGGUAGUCGCUGRUGCUAUCCUAGGCUUGCCCGGGGAUUAKUGGCGAACGGRUGAGUAACACCUGAGUAACCUGCCCUUGACUCUGGGAUAAGCCUGGGAAACUGGGUCUAAUACCGGAUAUGACUCCUCRUCGCAUGGUGGGGGGUGGAAAGCUUUUGUGGUUUUGGAUGGACUCGCGGCCUAUCAGCUUGUUGGUGAGGUAAUGGCUCACCAAGGCGACGACGGGUAGCCGGCCUGAGAGGGUGACCGGCCACACUGGGACUGARACACGGYCCARACUCCUACGGGAGGCAKCAGWGGGGAAUAUUGCGCAAUGGGCGCAAGUYUGAUUCAGCGACGCCUCGUGACGGAUGACWGCCUUCUGGUUGUAAACCUCUUUCWRUAKGGAUUAA